rnacentral:rRNA from 1 species
ACACGUGGGCAAUCUGCCCUGCACUCUGGGACAAGCCCUGGAAACGGGGUCUAAUACCGGAUACUGAUUGUCUUGGGCAUCCUUGAUGAUCGAAAGCUCCGGCGGUGCAGGAUGAGCCCGCGGCCUAUCAGCUUGUUGGUGAGGUAACGGCUCACCAAGGCGACGACGGGUAGCCGGCCUGAGAGGGCGACCGGCCACACUGGGACUGAGACACGGCCCAGACUCCUACGGGAGGCAGCAGUGGGGAAUAUUGCACAAUGGGGCGAAAGC